CCUGGUUGAUCCUGCCAGUAGUCAUACACUUGUCUCAAAGAUUAAGCUAUGCAUGUCUAAGUAUGAACUAAUUCAGACUGUGAAACUGUGGAUGGCUCAUUAAAUAAGUUAUAGUUUUUUUGAUGGUACCAUACUACUCAGAUAACCAUAGUAAUUCUAGAGCUAAUAUGUGCACCAAGUCUCGACUCUUUGGAAGGGAUGCAUUUUUUAGAUAAAAGGAUGGUGCGGGCUUGCCCACUUCUCUGGUGAAUCAUGAUAACUCGAUGGAUCGCAAAACCCUUGUGCUGGCGAUGCUUCAUUCAAAUUUCUACCCUAUCAACUUUCGAUGGUAGGAUAGAGGCCUAACAUGGUGGUAACAGGUGACGGAGAAUUAGGGUUCUAUUCCAGAGAGGGAGCCUGAGAAACGGCUACCACAUCCAAGGAAGGCAGCAGGCGCACAAAUUACCCAAUCCUGACAUGGGGAGGUAGUGACAAUAAAUAACAAUACUGGGCUCAUCGAGUCUGGUAAUUGGAAUGAUUACAAUCUAAAUCCCUUUAAUGAGGAUCCAUUAGAGGGAAAGUCUGGUGCCAGCAGCCGCGAUUGUUGGAGAGGUAAAUCCCCUCUACGGAUAGAGGCAAUCCCUACUAGCCCAGAACGAGUCUAGCAACAAUCAAACAAUGCUAUCACGCAGGUUCCUAAUUGCAAAUAAAGAGUAGGUGAUGUAGACCUACUUGAGAUCCAAUGCUUUAGUUCGUAGGAGAGAUGGUGCUCGCAUUCCUUUGCCUUGGCCGGUCACGAUCCUCCACUAUCCAUGUGAAUGGACACCUGCACACAAAGAGAACAAACACAAACCGAAGCGCGAAAUCUAAUAUAUGAAAUUAUACACCAGUCAGGAAGGAUAUAAUUCAACAUCAACCAUUACAAGUACAACGAGAAUGGAACCAUAAUGAUAGUCAUCUAUUUAUUAAUAUUCAACAAAGGAGAAUACAACCUGCGUCCUGACGUCAAGUCCUCCUUUGGCUGGGUGCUCAGCUACACAAGUCUUGCAAAAGCUUGAAGGGGUGAGGGACAAGCUCUCUCUCUCUUUAGUGACAAAGUCUCCUUACUUAGGGAAAGCCUUAUGGAUACCAAGAAGGCUUCUUGCAACUCCAACCUUUUGAUGUCUUCCUUUCAGCACAAGUAUUGCCACAAGAGUCAAAGCUAUUAGAACCAGAACUAGCUUGUCCAA
rnacentral:rRNA from 1 species